CGUACAGAACUUUCCUUUAAGCGGGGGAGUAGCCCAUAGAAAUGUGGAUUAAUACCCCAUAGUAAUGUUGUCUGGCAUCAGAUGAUAUUUAAAGAUUUAUCACUUAAAGAUGGCUGUGCGGCUGAUUAGGUAGUUGGUGAGGGUAACGGCCCACCAAGCCAGCGAUCAGUAACUGGUGUGAGAGCACGACCAGUCACACGGGCACUGAGACACGGGCCCG
rnacentral:rRNA from 1 species